CCGCGGUAAUACGUAGGGGGCUAGCGUUAUCCGGAUUUACUGGGCGUAAAGGGUGCGUAGGCGGUCUUUCAAGUCAGGAGUGAAAGGCUACGGCUCAACCGUAGUAAGCUCUUGAAACUGGGAGACUUGAGGGCAGGAGAGGAGAGUGGAAUUCCUAGUGGAGCGGUGAAAUGCGUAGAUAUUAGGAGGAACACCAGUGGCGAAGGCGGCUCUCUGGACUGUAACUGACGCUGAGGCACGAAAGCGUGGGGAGCAAACAGGAUUAGAUACCCUGGUAGUCCACGCUGU
rnacentral:rRNA from 1 species